rnacentral:rRNA from 1 species
GAUGAACGCUGGCGGCGUGCCUAAUACAUGCAAGUCGAGCGAACAGAUGAGGAGCUUGCUCCUCUGACGUUAGCGGCGGACGGGUGAGUAACACGUGGAUAACCUACCUAUAAGACUGGGAUAACUUCGGGAAACCGGAGCUAAUACCGGAUAAUAUAUUGAACCGCAUGGUUCAAUAGUGAAAGACGGUUUUGCUGUCACUUAUAGAUGGAUCCGCGCCGCAUUAGCUAGUUGGUAAGGUAACGGCUUACCAAGGCAACGAUGCGUAGCCGACCUGAGAGGGUGAUCGGCCACACGGGAACUGAGACACGGUCCAGACUCCUACGGGGGGCAGCAGUAGGGAAUCUUCCGCAAUGGGCGAAAGCCUGACGGAGCAACGCCGCGUGAGUGAUGAAGGUCUUCGGAUCGUAAAACUCUGUUAUUAGGGAAGAACAAAUGUGUAAGUAACUAUGCACGUCUUGACGGUACCUAAUCAGAAAGCCACGGCUAACUACGUG